UCCAGGCAAAGCUUUGGAAAAACAAACUUGUAAUCUUCCUUUUAAGAAUAAUCAAUACUACCCUGCUCUGACAUCACAUUGUCAUGUGACUGUGGAGAGCCAAUGAAGAGACUAUAUAAGCAGGAAGUAUUGGUUGCCAGGAAAGGCUAGGGAGGAGGAGCUUGGAAAAGUUUGUUGGAGGUUAUAGGAGCCACCUACUGGGGCCUGAUUGGGCAAGUAGCAGGGUUUUUAUUGUAAAACCACAGAAUUGGCCAGGUGUUGAUGGCGAGCUGGGAACCUAUUAAGGAAAGAAAGACUGAAGGUCAUUUCAGCCCAGAACUCAUUUGAUGAGUAUCACCUGCUCUGAUUGGGCUGGUAGGAGGCUUCAUAGCCUAUCCUUCAAAUCACUGUCCUGUUUUGAGUUCAACCUACUGCCCACAGUCUUUUCUUCAUUAACCCUCCCCUCCGUUGAAUCUGUUGGACUUUUGUCUGCUGGGCCGUUGAACGGGAUAGUGCAUGUAGCAUACACUGCUGCUGGGACUUGGAUUUCUCUGGACCUUUUUGAAGAAUCUGCAGAAGUCUUAUGGGAUUUGAACUGAUGAACUGAUUAUUUGAAUGGCCAUUGUUUUGAUAUCUGUCUGUCUGUUGUUCUUGUUUUU